UAGGGAAUCUUCGGCAAUGGACGGAAGUCUGACCGAGCAACGCCGCGUGAGUGAAGAAGGUUUUCGGAUCGUAAAGCUCUGUUGUAAGAGAAGAACGAGUGUGAGAGUGGAAAGUUCACACUGUGACGGUAUCUUACCAGAAAGGGACGGCUAACUACGUGCCAGCAGCCGCGGUAAUACGUAGGUCCCGAGCGUUGUCCGGAUUUAUUGGGCGUAAAGCGAGCGCAGGCGGUUAGAUAAGUCUGAAGUUAAAGGCUGUGGCUUAACCAUAGUACGCUUUGGAAACUGUUUAACUUGAGUGCAAGAGGGGAGAGUGGAAUUCCAUGUGUAGCGGUGAAAUGCGUAGAUAUAUGGAGGAACACCGGUGGCGAAAGCGGCUCUCUGGCUUGUAACUGACGCUGAGGCUCGAAAGCGUGGGGAGCAAACAGGAUUAGAUACCCUGGUAGUCCACGCCGUAAACGAUGAGUGCUAGGUGUUAGACCCUUUCCGGGGUUUAGUGCCGCAGCUAACGCAUUAAGCACUCCGCCUGGGGAGUACGACCGCAAGNNNG
rnacentral:rRNA from 1 species